CUCAAAUAGUAAAAUAUAAAUAUUUAAUUAUGAAAAUGAAAAAUGUUACUAGCAGAGGAACAUGUUCUAAAUUGACACCAAAUGGCAUACAGACGUGUGAUUACAAUCUUUUGGGUUCUUACAUAUCAUAGCAAAUAAGAAACCAAAAUUUAGCAAUAGUCUUUCUGAAAGUGCCAUAUUUCACAGAACUAGAAGACGGAUGAUCGAAAUGCUUAACAGAAAUACUUAACAUUUCCCUAAAGUUUCUUUAAACGUUUAUUAAAUGUUUUAUAUUUAAGAAAGAGCAAAGUUACUCCAUGAACAACAUGAAGAAUAUGUACUUCAUAGCAACCUAACCAUCAACAAUCUUUGAGAUUUUAUGCUAAUUUAACUAGAAAUGUUCCUUCAGAACACGUCUUUAUCGCCUAUCAGAGAGAAACAUUGGAAUCACAGUGGAUCGUGAUAAUUUCUGAGCCGAGCUAGAAGCACACGGCUUGCAGAACACUGGAUACAAACAGAACAUACUCUGUGCAGCGGGCAAUUCAACAUUAAAAGCAAACUUUGCCCAAACAGAUCCUCAGCUACUGAGAUGAGAGCUCAUCUGCAUUUGUCUGUGAGGCUUCAGCGAUGCAACUCUCUAAAUCAGGUGGAGGAUUUCUGCGCACAACUAAAGAGUCAUAUGUGCUCACCGACUCUGGACUCGGAAGGAGUUUGGAAAUCACGUCCUGCAGCGGCACACACAAAGAGGAGGCAGCUCUCCGCAUCAGCCCCCUCCGUUCCCCCCUCCAUGCUGGGUUGCUUUCUGACUCCUUCCGAUAACGAGAAGCUCCUUUUUCUUUGAGGAAUCCUGUUUCAUUAGAAUGUUCCAGUUCUAUUUUGGAGUGAGCCAAAGUCCCCUUUCUCUGACUUCCUAGGUCUCUCUUCAAAACUACCUCACAAGGCAAGUGGAGCAAAGAGAUGUGUGGAGCUUUGAUCUGAGCCGCGAUUGUAAGCGCUAACAUGGUGUUUCACACACAGUCUGUAUUCAAUAGGUACAACUGAGUGUUAAUGAAGGAAUUAGAUUCUUCUGUAUCUGGGACUUAUUUAUCUUAAGAUAAUAAUUGUGUCAUUUCCCCUGCCCCCUUGGUCAAAGGAGAGCGCCAUUAAGGGAAGAAGAGGACGGCCAUCACAGAGGAUGUGGAACCCACAUUCAACCACUGUUCUGCCUCUUCUUCCCGUGGCUGCAAAAUCUAACCCCGCUCCCUCAUUCCCCCACAUAGUUGGGCCCAACACAGUUUUCUUUUGGGUGAGUCCAGAUAUAGGUUUGGUCCACUCACAGUGGUGAAAGGGAGGAAUAAAGCAGUCAAGGCCAUGUGCCAUUGUGUCCUAUCAUCCCUUAAAGUGACAUUGAGGCCACAGGAGUGUCUGAGCCCUGGGCAGCCCUGGGCAGGGCUUACUGAAGGUAGCCAUGCCCCUGUUUGCUGUUGUUUUUCUCUUUAUCUUCUCAUAAGUUGUCCUCAGGUCAUUAUUUAUUUCACUGAACAUUUCCAGAAUGCCUACUAGAUGUCAGACACUUCACCAAACCCUGGAAGUGCAGAAAUGAAUAAGACAUGGACCCCGCCCUGAAGUUGCUUACAGGUUAUUGAGAUAGACGGACAUACGAACAAAUCUUUUCAACUAAAAGAGCCCCCAAAAGAGGUCAGCCCAUUGGGCUUAUCGAGGAGCAGCAAGUGACCGCGCCAGGUGGCGUUAAAUGGAGGGUUCACCGCCUAGUUGAUGCUGUAGGAGAGCAACUUGAGUGCGUGGCUGCUAGAAGGAGGUGCAUCUUCAGAGGUCUGCUGGUGUUGAAGAAUAGAUGGCAUGCUGGAGGAAUAGCGAGGGAUCCGCCUGGCUGAAAGACAGCGUGAUUGAAAAACCAGGCAGGGACGAUGGAAAUUAGACUAGAUUGGAGAGAGAGUUUAGGGUUAUUAAUACAAUGUGAUUCUUUCCAUUAGCAACAAGAUAUUUUAUCCAGACUGGAAAUGCACUUUUUAAAAUAAAAAGAAUUAACCAAAAGGGCCUGCUGAAUUUGCUUCUUUCCAUGAAUGUAUUUUUGCCCAAGCAAGUUUUUCUUCUUCUUCUUUUUUUUUUUUUUUUUUUUGAGGAAGAUUAGCCCUGAGCUAACUACUGCCAAUCCUCCUCUUUUUGCUGAGGAAGACUGGCCCUCAGCUCACAUCCUUGCCCAUCUUCCUCUACUUUAUACAUGGGAUGCCUACCACAGCAUGGCUUUCUGCCAGUCGGUGCCAUGUCCACACAGGGAUCCAAACUGGCGAACCCUGGGCCUCCAAGAAGCGGAAUGUGGGAACUUAACCUAACCGCUGUGCCACCCAGCUGGCCCCGCCCAAGCAAGUUUUUAUUUCCUUGUAAAAGAGGGAUAAUGCCAGAAGAUUAGCUCAUUGGUAACGCAUAUGUUUUAUACAAAUUUUAGCUAAAUAAAUAAACUUUGAGAUGUUUUUUAAUAACAACAAAAAUUUUAAAACUAUCUGUUUAUUGUCAAUAGGGAGUUGGUAAAAUGAAUUUUGGUUUAUCCUUACACUGGAAUACGAUGGAUUCAGUAAAAUGGCACUGUAGAAUAUUGGGUUAUAUAAAAUUGAUAGUCAUUAUAGAGAUUGUUAGAAGAAUAAAAGAAGAUUU
ensembl:lncRNA